ensembl:snoRNA SNORD36 Small nucleolar RNA SNORD36
CUGCAGUGAUGUUUGAAUUUCUUCACCUGACCCCGUCUGAAGAGCAAGAAUAUACGAGCUUUUUAACCCUGAGCGCU